rnacentral:misc_RNA from 1 species
AACGACUCAUUUAGUGCAAUACCAAUUAUGAUAAUGAUGUAUUGGGUGUAAUAUUAUGCAUGUUUUUAUAAACACUAUACUAGUAUGUUCAUACAGUAGUCCAAGGACAGUAGUCAUUUAAGAUUAAUCUAGCUAGAUUAUGAUAUGGGUGUAUAAUCAAGGGAAUGGGGGAUGAAAAAAAUCUGAAAUAUUUCACAAGGGAAUAGUUAGGUAAAUAUUCCUUACCGUGACAGUGAUCUUUUUAAAACGUAUGUACAUGUAUUUCCAGAUGCAUAUACAUGUAUUUUAUCAAAAUACAAAAGCAGAACCAGAUGCUUUAGCUUUAGGAUGGUUCAUAGAGAUAGGAUAAGCUGUGCAGAGAUUAUAAGAUUACUUCUAAAUCAUUUGCUAGUCAUGGGUUGCCAACUUUAAUGUGGCAGUGCUGGGAUUGUUGUUUGUUUAAUGUUGCUUGUUAUACAGUUAAGAGUACAUAUAGUCAAUAAUUCUUUUAGAAUUAUGGAAUAAUUCAUGUUACAUUUAAUUUACAAUUCUGACGAAAUGAAUAGGUUUUUCAGAAAAGAUCAGACAUUUAAAUUUGCUACAAUCUGUCAUUUAUUAAAAUAUGUCAAUGAAAAAGUCAAGUUUAAAGACUAUCAAUACAGUACCUGUACUAGGAAAAUCUGUAUACAUGAUUAUUAUUUUGUUUGAAUGAAAUUCUUAGAAGCAUAUUCCUACCUGUUAAUUGCAUUUUUCAGACAUGAUUUUCUUAUUUAUAUGAAUAUCAAAUAUGCAUCCAAAUGUCAAUGUAAUAAAAGCAAGCUUUGG